UAACGCGUGGAUAACCUGCCGUAUGCAGGGGGAUAACAGUUGNAAACAGCUGCUAAUACCGCAUAAGCGCACAGUACCGCAUGGUACGGUGUGAAAAGAUUUAUCGGCAUACGAUGGAUCCGCGUCUGAUUAGCCAGUUGGCGGGGUAACGGCCCACCAAAGCGACGAUCGGUAGCCGGCCUGAGAGGGCGGACGGCCACAUUGGGACUGAGACACGGCCCAAACUCCUACGGGAGGCAGCAGUGGGGAAUAUUGCACAAUGGGGGAAACCCUGAUGCAGCGACGCCGCGUGAGUGAAGAAGUAUUUCGGUAUGUAAAGCUCUAUCAGCAGGGAAGAAAAUGACGGUACCUGACUAAGAAGCCCCGGCUAACUACGUGCCAGCAGCCGCGGUAAUACGUAGGGGGCAAGCGUUAUCCGGAUUUACUGGGUGUAAAGGGAGCGUAGACGGCGCUGCAAGUCCGGAGUGAAAGCCCAUGGCUUAACCAUGGUACUGCUCUGGAAACUGUGGAGCUUGAGUGCGGGAGGGGCAGGCGGAAUUCCUAGUGUAGCGGUGAAAUGCGUAGAUAUUAGGAGGAACACCGGCGGCGAAGGCGGCCUGCUGGACCGUAACUGACGUUGAGGCUCGAAAGCGUGGGGAGCAAACAGGAUUAGAUACCCUGGUAGU
rnacentral:rRNA from 1 species